rnacentral:sRNA from 1 species
AGAGGAUCCUGGAGGCCAAUGAGUAUGGAGAGAAGUAUGCAAGCACAGGACACAGACCCACUCCUGUUGUAUAUAAUUAUGUGAGCAGAUGGGAGAGGCUAAUGACUUUUAAUCCCAAGUGCAUUAAAGAAGAUUAAAGACGCCUACAGACCUAAGGAUCUGUGUUGAAGAUUUUAUAUGCAAUACCAUUCUCGUUUGUUCAUGUUUGCUGUCGUGAUUUCUUGAGUCUGUAAGGCAGACUGUGUGCAUGUUUGCAAGUCUAGGUGGCACACCACCAUCUGAAUUUCUGAACCAUGUUGCGGAUCUCUAGUGCCAAAUCCUACAAGGUUUUGGUUUUCUAUUUAUAGGAGCCUAGAAACCACUCUAGCCUUUGGAGUCACAGCUUCGCGGCAGUUUCAGCGUCUGCUACUUAUUAAGUGUUGAUGGACCAUCUGGGGCUUUCAGAGUCUUAUGUGACAUCUUCUUCAACUUACCUUGGAAUCUUAGACUUCACUGAGAUCUAUGCAUAAGUCAUUAUGGAAUGGAAAGGAAAAUGGCCACGUUUGAUUACUUUUGGUUUAGAAUCAGGAAAGCUGAAGUUAUACAGGAAGGCCAACUGAGAUCAAAAAGAAACUGUCUCUACCUGGUGCGCCCACAUAGCAAUUCUGUCCAGCCCAAGAGUCUGGGACAUGCCAGAACAUUUUCUUCUUUAUAGUCUGUGGGAGGCACUGACAAGAACAGUUGAUACAGAUUGCAAGCACAGCGACAUAGUAGUGUCGUAAUGCAUCAUCACAUGCUAUCUUUGGUAUAUUCUAGAAUUUUAUCACGAGGCAUUGAUCCCACACCUGAGAUUUGCCUCCAUUUGAGACUCAGAAUUUUGCAGCUGUUUUCUCAAUGCAGGAAGAGGUCAUUAUUAGAAUGAAGUGAAGAAAGGAAGGCAUGAAGGGGAAAUGGGACUGUUUACGGAGCACAUCUACACAAAGGAGACAGGGGGAAGUGCUGUGCUCUUCAGUGUCUUUGUAGCAUAAAUCACUGAGGCAGAGGAAUUUUUGACAGCUUUCCCUAAGUGCUCGCUUCAAGGGUGAGACCAAAUCUUCCACAGAGGCCAAGGAUGAGAGUGAAAAAGAAGGGAUCCCAGAUGACUUCUAACACUCUUAAAGCAACUCGAAGACUCCAAGAAUUAAGGCACUGAAGACCGGGAAGCCACUGUUAGUGACAUCAUUUUGCAAGGAGUAGGAGGCGCUUCUUACUGGAGAAGGCACGUCACCAGGGUAUUCUUUGAAGUUUCAAAAGCCCAUACCAGGCCCAGUCUAUCUCUGCCUCCUGUCUGCUGAUCAGGAUGAGGCUCUCCUGCCUCCAUGCCGCUGUGCUUCCCAGCGUGAUGAGCAAAGAAAAACCUUCUGAGAUUGUAAGCAAGCCACCAAUUAAAUGUUUUCUUUUAUGAGUACCUUGGCCAUGGUGUCUUUUCACAGCAACAGAACAGUAACCAACACACAAUCCAAAGGGAUCCUUCAGAUGUUAACAUAAAUAAUAUAGGACAGAGACAAAAGGCCAUCCGGAAAUGUUUACCUCCAAGACUUUCUCUACCAGGCUCAACUGAAAUCGUUCAUUCAGAGUGGGUCAAGGUUUUAUUCAAAUACUUAUUGUCCAUUGUAUUGAGUUUUUAACCCAAACACUUAUAUAUAUGUAUGUGUGUGUGUGUGUGUGUGUGUGUGUGUGUGUGUGUGUGUGUGUGUGUGUAUACCUCUUACAUGAUUUAAGAGGCCAACAUAAAUUUCCUGGUGGAAAAUAAAUUGCUCAUUUCUAAGAUUUGUUAAUGUAAUUUGUGACUGUAUUCCUUCCAUAGGUUCACAUGAUUUUCUGGCCUCUUGGAAGCAUGAUUCUCCCCCCAAAAUGAGUUACUUGGUUAUAUGAAUGCUGUAUAAAAAUAAAUGCAAAAAAGUGGGCUUAAGAAGUUGGAUAGCAUACAGGCCCAUCUUUACCUUGCGGGUAAUAAGCUGAGAAUGAAAGUGAUCCCAGGAUCCUUUGAGAAUAAAAACCAUCAUUGAGAAACUUCUAUUUGUCACUGUAGUAGGUUGUCCAAACCUUAUCAGUUGUUCAUCUACCCAGAGUUCAAUGCUGAGGCUUUUCCAUGUGUGAUGGUUUGCAUAUGCUUGGCCAAGGGAGUGGCACUAUUAGAAGGUGUGGCCUUUUGGAUGA